rnacentral:rRNA from 1 species
GGGUUGUGAGGUUAAGCGACUAAGCGUACACGGUGGAUGUCCCGCAGUCAGAGGCGAUGAAGGACGUGCUAAUCUGCGAAAAGCGUCGGUAAGGUGAUAUGAACCGUUACAGCCGGCGAUGUCCGAAUGGGGAAACCCAGUUGUUACUAUCGUUAACUGAAUACAUAGGUUAACGAGGCGAACGGGGAACUGAAACAUCUAAGUACCCCGAGGAAAAGAAAUCAACCGAGAUUCCCCAGUAGCGGCGAGCGAACGGGGAGCAGCCCAGAGUCUGAAUCAGCUUGUGUGGUACUGGAAAGUCCGACGGUACAGGGUGAUAGUCCCGUACACCAAAAUGCACAGGCUGUGAACUCGAAGAGUAGGGCGGGACACGUGGUAUCCUGUCUGAAUAUGGGGACCAUCCUCCGCUAAAUACUCCUGACUGACCGAUAGUGAACCAGUACCGUGAGGGAAAGGCGAAAAGAACCCCGGCGAGGGGAGUGAAAAGAACCUGAAACCGUGUACGUACAAGCAGUGGGAGCACCUUCGGGUGUGACUGCGUACCUUUGUAUAAUGGGUCAGCGACUUAUAUUCUGUAGCAAGGUUAACCGUAGGGGAGCCGCAGGGAAACCGAGUCUUAACUGGGCGUUAAGUUGCAGGGUAUAGACCCGAAACCCGGUGAUUCAGCCAAGGUUGAAGGUAACACUAACUGGAGGACCGAACCGACUAAUGUUGAAAAAUUAGCGGAUGACUUGUGGGUGAAAGGCCAAUCAAACCGGGAGAUAGCUGGUUCUCCCGAAAGCUAUUUAGGUAGCGCCUCGUGAAUUCAUCUUCGGGGUAGAGCACUGUUUCGGCUAGGGGUCAUCCCGACUUACCAACCCGAUGCAAACUACGAAUACCGAAGAAUGUUAUCACGGGAGACACACGGCGGUGCUAACGUCCGUCGUGAAGAGGGAAACAACCCAGACCGCCAGCUAAGGUCCCAAAGUCAUGGUUAAGGGGAAACGAUGUGGGAAGGCACAGACAGCCGAUGUUGGCUUAGAAGCAGCCAUCAUUUAAAGAAAGCGUAAUAGCUCACUGGUCGAGUCGGCCUGCGCGGAAGAUGUAACGGGGCUAAACCAUGCACCAGCUGCGGCAGCGACACUAUGUGUUGUUGGGUAGGGGAGCGUUCUGUAAGCCUGCGAAGGUGUGCUGUGAGGCAUGCUGGAGGUAUCAGAAGUGCGAAUGCUGACAUAAGUAACGAUAAAGCGGGUGAAAAGCCCGCUCGCCGGAAGACCAAGGGUUCCUGUCCAACGUUAAUCGGGGCAGGGUGAGUCGACCCUGGCGAGGCCGAAAGGCGUAGUCGAUGGGAAACAGGUUAAUAUUCCUGUACUUGGUGUUACUGCGAAGGGGGACGGAGAAGGCUAUGUUAGCCGGGCGACGGUUGUCCCGGUUUAAGCAUGUAGGCUGGUUGUCCGUGCAAAUCCGGAUAAUCAAGGCUGAGGUGUGAUGACGAGGCACUACGGUGCUGAAGUAACAAAUGCCCUGCUUCCGUGAAAAGCCUCUAAGCAUCAGGUAACAUUAAAUCGUACCCCAAACCGACACAGGUGGUCAGGUAGAGAAUACCAAGGCGCUUGAGAGAACUCGGGUGAAGGAACUAGGCAAAAUGGUGCCGUAACUUCGGGAGAAGGCACGCUGUGUGUAGGUGAAGUCCCUGCGGAUGGAGCUGAGACCAGUCGAAGAUACCAGCUGGCUGCAACUGUUUAUUAAAAACACAGCACUGUGCAAACACGAAAGUGGACGUAUACGGUGUGACGCCUGCCCGGUGCCGGAAGGUUAAUUGAUGGGGUUAUCCGUAAGGAGAAGCUCUUGAUCGAAGCCCUGGUAAACGGCGGCCGUAACUAUAACGGUCCUAAGGUAGCGAAAUUCCUUGUCGGGUAAGUUCCGACCUGCACGAAUGGCGUAAUGAUGGCCGUUGACCCGAAAUUGAACUCGCUGUGAAGAUGCAGUGUACCCGCGGCAAGACGGAAAGACCCCGUGAACCUUUACUAUAGCUUGACACUGAACAUUGAGCCUUGAUGUAGGAUAGGUGGGAGGCUUUGAAGCGUGGACGCAGUCUGCGUGGAGCCAACCUUGAAAUACCACCCUUUAAUGUUUGAUGUUCUAACGUUGGCCCUUACCGGGGUUGCGGACAGUGUCUGGUGGGUAGUUUGACUGGGGCGGUCUCUCCCAAAGCGUAACGGAGGAGCACGAAGGUUAGCUAAUCCGGUCGGACAUCAGGAGGUUAGUGCAAUGGCAUAAGCUAGCUUGACUGCGAGCGACGGCGCGAGCAGGUGCGAAAGCAGGUCAUAGUGAUCCGGUGGUUCUGAAUGGAAGGGCCAUCGCUCAACGGAUAAAAGGUACCCGGGAUAACAGGCUGAUACCGCCCAAGAGUUCAUAUCGACGGCGGUGUUUGGCACCUCGAUGUCGGCUCAUCACAUCCUGGGGCUGAAGUAGGUCAAGGGUAUGGCUGUUCGCCAUUUAAAGUGGUACGCGAGCUGGGUUUAGAACGUCGUGAGACAGUUCGGUCCCCAUUCUGCCGUGGGCGCUGGAGAAUUGAGGGGGCUGCUCUAGUACGAGAGGACCGGAGUGGACGCAUCACUGGUGUUCGGGUUGUCAUGCCAAUGGCACUGCCCGGUAGCUAAAUGCGGAAGAGAUAAGUGCUGAAAGCAUCUAAGCACGAAACUUGCCCUGAGAUGAGUUCUCCUGAGACUUUAAGUCUCCUGAAGGAACGUUAAAGACGAUGACGUUGAUAGGCCGGGUGUGUAAGCGCAGCGAUGCAGCUAACCGGUACUAAUGAACCGUGAGGCUUAACCUUACAACGCCGAAG